rnacentral:lncRNA from 1 species
CAAAAUAUGUUGAGAAUUUCCACUGUGUGGAUAAAUGUGGGAGUGUCUGUCUCUGAAGCUCCUCCAAGGCCUCAGCAGAAAUAUGAAGAGGCAUUUCAGAGUUAAGAUGAAACCUAUUCUGAAAUUCAGUUUUAUGGAAGACACAAACCAAGGAAUACAGGCAAGAUUUGGACAUUUGAGUCAAGCAGAUUUGACACUGAUGGCUAGCCUUGGGUAAGUUAUUUAUACUUUGAACCCCAGUUAUGUCAAUAGUAAAGUAGAAAUAAUAACGCAU